rnacentral:rRNA from 1 species
GACGAACGCUGGCGGCGUGCUUAACACAUGCAAGUCGAACGGAAAGGCCCUGCUUUUGUGGGGUGCUCGAGUGGCGAACGGGUGAGUAACACGUGAGUAACCUGCCCUUGACUUUGGGAUAACUUCAGGAAACUGGGGCUAAUACCGGAUAGGAGCUCCUGCUGCAUGGUGGGGGUUGGAAAGUUUCGGCGGUUGGGGAUGGACUCGCGGCUUAUCAGCUUGUUGGUGGGGUAGUGGCUUACCAAGGCUUUGACGGGUAGCCGGCCUGAGAGGGGGACCGGCCACAUUGGGACUGAGGUACGGCCCAGACUCCAACGGGAGGCAGCAGUGGAGAAUAUUGCACAGUGGGCGGAAGCCUGAUGCAGCAACGCCGCGUGCGGGAUGACGGCCUUCGGGUUGUAAACCGCUUUCGCCUGUGACGAAGCGUGAGUGACGGUAAUGGGUAAAGAAGCACCGGCUAACUACGUG